rnacentral:rRNA from 1 species
AGUGAACGCUGGCGGUAGGCCUAACACAUGCAAGUCGAACGGCAGCACAGUAUGAGCUUGCUCUUACGGGUGCCGAGUGGCGGACGGGUGAGGAAUACAUCGGAAUCUACUUUUUCGUGGCGGAGAACGUAGGCUAACUUACGCUAAUACCGCAUACGACCUACGUGUUUAUGCAGUGGAUCUUCGUACCUUGCGCGAUCGAAUGAGCCAAUGUCGGAUUAGCUAGUUGGCGGGGUAAACGCCCACCAAGGCGGCGAUCCGUAGCUGGUCUGAGAAGAUGAUGAAGCAGACUGGAAAUGAGAAACGGUCCAAAGUCCAACGGGAGGCAGCAGUGAGGAAUAUUGGACACAGGGCGGAAGACUGAUCGAGACAUGCCGCGUGGCUGAAGAAGGAAUUCGGGUUGUAAAGCCCUUUUGUUGGGAAAGAAAAGUAGCAGGUUAAGACACGGAGGUUCUGACGGUACCCGAAGAAUAAGCACCGGCUAAAUUCGUG